rnacentral:rRNA from 1 species
CCAGACUCCUACGGGAGGCAGCAGUAGGGAAUCUUCGGCAAUGGACGAAAGUCUGACCGAGCAACGCCGCGUGAGUGAGGAAGGUUUUCGGAUCGUAAAACUCUGUUGGUAGAGAAGAACGUUGGUGAGAGUGGAAAGCUCAUCAAGUGACGGUAACUACCCAGAAAGGGACGGCUAACUACGUGCCAGCAGCCGCGGUAAUACGUAGGUCCCGAGCGUUGUCCGGAUUUAUUGGGCGUAAAGCGAGCGCAGGUGGUUUAUUAAGUCUGGUGUAAAAGGCAGUGGCUCAACCAUUGUAUGCAUUGGAAACUGGUAGACUUGAGUGCAGGAGAGGAGAGUGGAAUUCCAUGUGUAGCGGUGAAAUGCGUAGAUAUAUGGAGGAACACCGGUGGCGAAAGCGGCUCUCUGGCCUGUAACUGACACUGAGGCUCGAAAGCGUGGGGAGCAAACAGGAUUAGAUACCCUGGUAGUCCACGCCGUAAACGAUGAGUGCUAGAUGUAGGGAACUAUAAGUUCUCUGUAUCGCAGCUAACGCAAUAAGCACUCCGCCUGGGGAGUACGACCGCAAGGUUGAAACUCAAAGGAAUUGACGGGGGCCCGCACAAG